AUACCGGGAGGCGACACGAGAUGCACAACCGCGUCGGAUGAUUGCCUCAGCUCGGGCACGAGUGCUGAGACCUCACGCGCUGCAUGGCGAGGGACUUCCCAGGAGGUCAAAGCGGCGCAGGUCAUGCAAAAGGACGCGUUCGCUGUUUGGUCCAAAAAAUUUGAAAACUCAAUAAAAUUAUCCUGCACACAACGAAUCCAGUGUCAGCAGUUCGUUUUGUUUUUCUAAGUAAUAAUACUUUGUGCCUUGGCCUUCGAAGUAAAGGAUGAUGGAGCUUGACAGAGAUGACUGCCAAAGUGAUGAGUCCACCGUGGAAGAUGUAGAUGACGCCACGUAUUCACUUGGUGACCUGAGUUGUGGGGAUGUUCAGCUGUGGGCUACAGAUCGAUGUAAGAGUGGUAGUGCCAUCAUGGUGUACAGGCCUAUGGAAGGUGCAGUGAUCCAUGGAAUUUGCAAACUGCUGACAAUGAGACAGGCGAGUGUUACUGAGGCGACGGAGUCAUUCCUGCAUGUUAUUACGACACGGUUACACAAGGCAUCAGGUACUGCAAAUCUGCUACGCCAGGAAGUGUGCCAGGUGAAGGCAUGCAAGGGUGCUGACAUUUCGCAAGCAUGGCCAUGGUCAUGUGACUUGGUCUGGGUCGGAAGCUCUGUAUAAGACAAAAGAAGACAGAUAAAAACAACUGAACCAGUGAUAUGUGUGUGUGAAUUGUGUGUGUGUGUGUGUGUGUGUGUGUGUGUGUGUGUGUGUGUGUGUGUGUGUGUGUGUGUGUGUGUGUGUGUGUGUGUGUGUGUGUGUGUGUGUGUGUGUGUGUGCUUCUGUGAUAAGUGGUAUAAGCAGUCCACAGGGUAUUCACCUUGAGUGCAUUCGCCGAUAGUGUGACUCUCGUCGCACAAAACCUUCUUCAGUUGGUCAGGUGGCCCGGCGUGGCUCGGAAGCUCUGUAUAAGACACCAUACGUCACAGAUAAAAACAACUGAACCAGUGAUAUGUGAAUUUUGCGCUUGUGUGUGUGUGUGUGUGUGUGUGUGUGUGUGUGUGUGCGUCAGUUGCUGCCGAUGGUUCCGUAGUAAGGGUGGGCUUGCAGUUCAUCGCUGCCAGCCUGCACUCCCUGAACAUGCAGAUACGGCAUUGACGGCGUCUCUCGCUAGUUGCUGCUUCCAGCAUUGUCAACGCUGCAAUCGCUGCUUCAAGUCCCGGGCUGGUUUUAACCGCCAUAACUGCAACCGUGGAAAACGUCUUGCUGCAGCCGAUAGGGAAUCACUGCCGCUGAUCUGCAUGCAUUGCCCGAAACGUUUCCGACGACAGCAAGAUUUGACGAGGCACCAGAAGUCCUGCCAAUGACGGUGCACUCCAAACUCUGGCCCCCUCCGGGGGUGACAUUGCCCAAUGGGCAGUCAUGCUAUAGUAGUAGUAGUAGUGUGUGUGUGUGUGUGUGUGUGUGUGUGUGUGUGUGCUUCUGUGAUAAGUGGUAUAAGCAGUCCACAGGGUAUAGUCCUUAUGCACAUUGUACAGAUGUACGAAGUUCUGUACUAUGGCCGUAGGUGUGUACAUACCCGGUUGGGUGUUCAUUGUGUGCUAUACAUGCGCAUUUGACCCAUUUAGCCUCACAAUUCAUGGCAAACGAUCACUUUUCAAGCCUUCUUCACUUUGGGAUUGAACUAACGACUAGCUAGAUCUCUGCCGGAAAAAGAUUUCGUAUGAAUGCCUUCAUGGCCCAUUUCAUAGUGGAAAUAGCAGUAAACACAAUAGGGUCCUGCACAUUCAACACCCAACCGGGUCUACGGGAUUCUACAAGAUUAUACGGGAUUUCGUGCAUCUGUACAAUGUGCAUAAGGCCUAUUCACCUUGAGUGCAUUCGCCGAUAGUGUGACUUUCGUCGCACAGAACCUUCUUCAGUUGGUCAGGUGACUCGGCGUGGCUCGGAAGCUCUGUAUAAGACAAAAUACGACACAGAUAAAAACAACUGAACCAGUGA